AUCAUUAAACUGGUCUUUAUUUUCAAUGUUUUGUGAAAACUGAGGAAUGUCAUGCAUCCGAGGUCUAAAUUUGAGAUUAUUACAUUUUGCCCUUUUUUUUCGAGACAUCAGUGCACACAUGCUUGAAUUUGUUGGUAAUUAGCGAAAUGAGAGAUGUCUAGAAGGGUUUAGAGGAGAAUGGGAUAAAUGUAUGGACAAGUCAUUCCUCAUAUAAUCCUCAAAGGAGAUGCGAUACGAGAAUGUCAGGGUGAACACGAGAUACACAAAGGGUGCCCCAGCUUGAUGUUAUUGAAAAUGAGCUGGGGUUUGGAUCCAUGAAAGUUAGGGUGAGAAAAUUUCAAAUGAAAUUUGCAAAGCUGCCCCAGUCUUGAGGUUAUGGGUUGAUGAGAAACUCUUGUAAGACUCACAAAGUUGUCCCGGUUUUUUUGGCAAGGGGUUUCAUUUGGAAGAGGUAUUGGACAUGAAAAGGAUCGGCUAAAAGGAUGGUCCCAUUUUAGUUUGAUUUUCUUUUUACAUGCUUUUGGCUAGUUGACAAAGAGAUCCCCUCUUCCCGAGACGUUAUCUUCUUCUCUUUUUUCAUUUUUUUUCAUUUUCAUUUUCAACUUUUUUUUUGUUUUUUUUUUUUUGCAACACAUUGAAAGUCAUUUCCCCUUAUCGCAAAGUUAAGCUUUAUGAAAAUUUUAGCAAACAUUAUCCAAUCUGCGUGGACUUUAUUAGGCUU
rnacentral:lncRNA from 1 species